UCCCUGGUGGCUCAGUGAUAAAGAAUCUGCCUCUAAUGCAGGAGACACAGGUUUGAUCCCUGGUCCAGGAA
rnacentral:tRNA from 1 species